rnacentral:tRNA from 1 species
GCUCCGGUGGCUCAGUGGUAGAGCAUGACACUAGUAAUGUCAAGGUCCGUGGUUCGAUCCCGCGUCGGAGCU